GACAGAGGGUGCAAACGUUGUUCGGAAUUACUGGGCGUAAAGCGCGUGUAGGCGGCCCGGCAAGUCGGAUGUGAAAGCCCUCGGCUCAACUGGGGAAGUGCAUCCGAAACUACCGGGCUCGAGUGUCGGAGAGGGAAGUGGAAUUCCCGGUGUAGAGGUGAAAUUCGUAGAUAUCGGGAGGAACACCAGUGGCGAAGGCGGCUUCCUGGACGAACACUGACGCUGAGACGCGACAGCGUGGGGAGCAAACAGG
rnacentral:rRNA from 1 species